UACGGAGGGUGCAAGCGUUAAUCGGAAUUACUGGGCGUAAAGCGCACGCAGGUGGCUAAGUCAGUCGAUUGUGAAAGCCCUGGGCUUAACCUGGGAAUUGCAGUCGAUACUACUUAGCUAGAGUAUGGGAGAGGGCAGUGGAAUUCCCGGUGUAGCGGUGAAAUGCGCAGAUAUCAGGAGGAACACCGAUGGCGAAGGCAGGUCUCUGGGCAUUAACUGACGCUGAGGCACGAAAGCGUGGGGAGCAAACAGG
rnacentral:rRNA from 1 species